rnacentral:rRNA from 1 species
GACGAACGCUGGCGGCGUGCUUAAUACAUGCAAGUCGAGCGAGGUCCAUCUGGUGGCAACACCAGUGAAGGCCGAGCGGCGAACGGGUGAGUAACACGUGAGCAACCUGCCCCGAAGUCUGGAAUAACAUCGGGAAACCGGUGCUAAUACCGGAUCGCCCCACCUGACCGCAUGAUCGGGUGAGGAAAGAUUUAUCGCUUCGGGAGGGGCUCGCGGCCUAUCAGCUAGNGGUGGGGUAACGGCCUACCAAGGCAUCGACGGGUAGCUGGUCUGAGAGGACGACCAGCCACACUGGGACUGAGACACGGCCCAGACUCCUACGGGAGGCAGCAGUAGGGAAUCUUGCGCAAUGGGCGAAAGCCUGACGCAGCAACGCCGCGUGGGGGAUGACGGCCUC